rnacentral:rRNA from 1 species
AUUGAACGCUGGCGGCAUGUCUUACACAUGCAAGUCGAACGGCAGCACGGGAGCAAUCCUGGUGGCGAGUGGCGAACGGGUGAGUAAAGUAUCGGAACGUGCCCAGUCGUGGGGGAUAACGUAGCGAAAGUUACGCUAAUACCGCAUACGAUCUAUGGAUGAAAGCGGGGGAUCGCAAUACCUCGCGCGAUUGGAGCGGCCGAUAUCAGAUUAGGUAGUUGGUGGGGUAAAGGCCCACCAAGCCGACGAUCUGUAGCUGGUCUGAGAGGACGACCAGCCACACUGGGACUGAGACACGGCCCAGACUCCUACGGGAGGCAGCAGUGGGGAAUUUUGGACAAUGGGCGAAAGCCUGAUCCAGCCAUGCCGCGUGCAGGAUGAAGGCCUUCGGGUUGUAAACUGCUUUUGUACGGAACGAAAAGGACUGCCCUAAUACGGUGGUCCCAUGACGGUACCGUAAGAAUAAGCACCGGCUAACUACGUGCCAGCCGCCGCGGUAA